GACGUAGGGCGCAAGCGUUGUCCGGAUUUAUUGGGCGUAAAGAGCUCGUAGGCGGCUUGCCACGUCUGCCGUGAAAACCAGCAGCUUAACUGUUGGCUUGCGGUUGAUACGGGUUGGCUGGAGUUCGGUAGGGGAGACUGGAAUUCCUGGUGUAGCGGUGAAAUGCGUAGAUAUCUGGAGGAACACCGGUGGCGAAGGCGGCGUUCUGGACUGCAACUGACACUGAGAGACGAAAGCCAGGGGAGCAAACGGG
rnacentral:rRNA from 1 species